rnacentral:rRNA from 1 species
AUACGGAGGGUGCAAGCGUUACUCGGAAUCACUGGGCGUAAAGCGCGCGCAGGCGGUCUUUUAAGUUGGAUGUGAAAGCCUACGGCUCAACCGUAGAACUGCAUCCAAAACUAUUAGACUAGAGUGUGGGAGAGGAAGAUGGAAUUAGUUGUGUAGGGGUAAAAUCCGUAGAGAUAACUAGGAAUACCAAAAGCGAAGGCAAUCUUCUGGAACACUACUGACGCUGAGGCGCGAAAGCGUGGGGAGCAAACAGGAUUAGAUACCCUAGUAGUCCC